GAUGAACGCUGGCGGCGUGCUUAACACAUGCAAGUCGAGCGAGAAACUACAUGCAGACACUUCGGUAGAAGCGAGUAGCGGAAAGCGGCGGACGGGUGAGUAACGCGUAAGCUACCUGCCCUUCACAGAGGUAUAGCCUCGGGAAACCGGGAUUAAAACCACAUAAAAUCAUAGGUUCGCAUGAACCAAAGGUCAAAGAUUUAUCGGUGAAGGAUGGGCCUGCGUCUGAUUAGCUGGUUUGGUAGGGUAAAAGCCUACCAAGGGCGACGAUCAGUAGCCGACCUGAGAGGGUGAUCGGCCCACAUUGGAAACUGAGACCACGGUCCCAAACUCCUACGGGAGGCAAGCCAGUGGGGGAUAUUGCCAC
rnacentral:rRNA from 1 species